GGGCACCCGCGAGGGGCGCGGGCGCAGCCGGAAGCUGGGGCGGGGCGCCCGCGCGGGAUGCGGUGAAGGGCGAGCGGCGCGGCAGCGGCGAUGAGUGCCUCGGCGGCCACGGGGGUCUUCGUGCUGUCCCUCUCGGCCAUCCCAGUCACCUACGUCUUCAACCACCUGGCUGCCCAACACGAUUCCUGGACGAUUGUAGGGGCUGCUGCCGUCGUCCUGCUCCUGGUGGCCCUGCUGGCUCGUGUCCUGGUCAAAAGAAAACCCCCUCGGGACCCACUGUUCUAUGUGUAUGCGGUGUUCGGAUUUACCAGCGUCGUAAACCUCAUCAUAGGACUGGAACAAGAUGGGAUCAUCGACGGGUUCAUGACGCACUACCUGAGAGAGGGUGAACCGUAUCUGAACACGGCCUACGGACAUAUGAUCUGCUACUGGGACGGCUCUGCUCAUUAUUUGAUGUAUCUGGUGAUGGUGGCAGCCAUAGCCUGGGAGGAAAGUUAUAGAACCAUUGGCCUAUAUUGGGUCGGAUCUAUUAUUAUGAGCAUCGUCGUUUUUGUGCCAGGAAACAUUGUAGGGAAGUAUGGAACACGUAUUUGCCCUGCCUUUUUCUUAAGCAUACCAUAUACUUGUCUUCCUGUCUGGGCUGGUUUCAGAAUCUAUAACCAGCCAUCAGAAAAUUAUAAUUAUCCCUCAAAGGUCAUUCAAGAGGUCCAAGCAAAAGACCUGCUGAGAAGACCUUUUGAUUUAAUGUUGGUUUUAUGUCUCCUUCUGGCGACUGGAUUUUGCGUGUUUAGAGGCUUGAUUGCCUUGGAUUGCCCAGCUGAGCUCUGCCGAUUAUAUACGCAAUUUCAGGAGCCGUACCUGAAGGAUCCUGCUGCUUAUCCUAAAAUCCAGAUGCUGGCCUAUCUGUUCUAUUCCGUCCCUUACUUUGUGAUUGCACUUUAUGGCUUGGUGGUUCCUGGAUGCUUCUGGAUGCCUGAUAUAACCCUGAUACAUGCUGGAGGUCUAGCUCAGAUGACUGACUUUUGCUAUCUUGGUACCUGUAUCUGGCCCCAUUCCACUCUUUUCUUGCACAGGAACAUUUGCGAAUUCAUCAGUUCUUGCUCUGUACUCUGUAUCAUAGGAAUUAUGUGGGUAAAUCUUUUUUUGAAGGAAAGUUGAAGUUAUUCAGAAAGUCUGUUUAAAGAAAUACAUUUCAGGGUAUUUGUGAAUAAACAACUACCUAUCUCAAUAUUCUGUUUGUAUAUAUUAAAUAUAAGUGUGAAAAAUUACAAUUUAGCUCCUAUAAUAAUUAACAUGAAAAGGUAACUAUUCGAAAGUGAAAAUGGCCUAUGCAUAUUAAAAAUUUCAAACGAGCAAAUACAGAUUGGAGGAAUAUUUUUGCAUAUAAGAUGUAUAUGCUUUAUGACCAACCUCAAUAUAAAAGACAAAUUACCAGAAUAUUUAAAAAUGUUUGAAAAGUGUUUUCCCAAGGAAAGUGAAUUAUUCACUGGGGUUUCAAAAACUGCUUUCACUGAAAUUUUUUAUUGAGUCUAAACAGUUAAGAAGGGAUCUAUAACUUUAUUAUUACCUUUAUUUUACUGGUGACUGGAAAUAUUUCUAUUGUGUUUCUGUGUAUAUUUUUAAUAAAUUAUUUUUGGCCUUUUAUGAAGACAGAUCUUAUUAAAUUUGAAACAUAUUGUGUAUUUUCUUUUUCAGAAAAAGUUCUGUGGUCUUUAGUUUUGUUUUAAAAAUCUGUCACUUAUACGUUCCAAUUCGAAAUGUCAUCUACGUUCUCCUUAUGUUUUAGUGUGAGCGAUGAAGAGGACUUUUGAUGAAUUAAUUAAAUUUCCUUGAUUUUAAAUUAAAAUAUUCAAAAUUAAAAAGUACCUUGUAAGGACAAAGAACUGGACUGGCUUUCCUACUCUCUUUUAAAUGAACUGUUCAUCAUGUGGAAGCGUGAGUCGAGUAUAAUAGAGGAAAAUCAGUAUUUGCUAAAUGAGAGAAACAAACCCCAAACACAGCCGCCGCCUCAGUGCCCAGGAGUGCUCGUCACCAAAAUAAGAAAACCUAAAAGAAAAUGGUGUCCAGAUCAGUGCAUGGAUAAGGUCCAGUGUGAAUUUAGGGGUCCACUGAACUGUAAACUUUUCAACUACAAACCUCGAAUACGCGAAAGAUGUUCCAAGGACAAGCAUAACAGGAUUGAUAAAACCCAAACUGAC